rnacentral:lncRNA from 1 species
CAUGGAACCUAGGAACCACGGAACCUAGGAACCGUGUGACCUAGUAACCAAGGAACCUAGAAAUCACAGAACCUAGGAAUCAUGGAACCUAGGAACCAAGGAGCCUAGGAAUCAAGGAACCAAGGAAUCUAGGAACCAAGGAAUCUAGGAACCUAGGAACCACUGAAACUAGGAAGCAAGGAAUCUAAGAACCACAGAACCUAGGAACCACGGAACCUAAGAACGAAGGAACCAUGGAACCACAGAACCUAGGAACCAUGGAACCUAGAAAACAUGGAACCUAGGAACCAUGGAACCUAGAAAACACGGAACCUAGGAACCAAGGAACCGUGGAACCACCGAACGUAGGAAUCACAGAACCAGAUUUGAGGAAAACAAUCAACUCGAUGAAGAGGAAGGAGGAAGAGAAGCUGAACACCUAGGAAAAAACAGAGAAACAAAAACCAGCCUCUUAGUACUUCCUGUUGACGUUGGUGGGGGCCAGCCCAGCUUCCCACAUGAUCGCAUCUUCUUGUAACUCUCUUAUUGUACAACUUGAGACACCGAGAUCCUCAGCUAGCCAGUGAGUAUAUUCCAUAUACUAAAGCAGAAAAAUGGACGCCCCCCCCAAGUAUGGCAUGGGGAACUGGUUCUCAUUCUUAGGGGUUUUUUUAAUCAACCAUUUUUUAAAGGUAUAAUAUACCUACAAUAAAAUGCACCCAUUUUAAGUUUAAAA